rnacentral:rRNA from 1 species
UGCCAGCCGCCGCGGUAAUACGGGGGGCGCAAGCGUUAUUCGGAAUUACUGGGCGUAAAGCGCGCGUAGGCGGACUAUUAAGUUAGGGGUGAAAUCCCAGGGCUCAACCCUGGAACUGCCUCUAAUACUGGUAGUCUAGAGUUCGAGAGAGGUGAGUGGAAUUCCGAGUGUAGAGGUGAAAUUCGUAGAUAUUCGGAGGAACACCAGUGGCGAAGGCGGCUCACUGGCUCGAUACUGACGCUGAGGUGCGAAAGUGUGGGGAGCAAACAGGAUUAGAUA